rnacentral:rRNA from 1 species
GACGAACGCUGGCGGCGUGCUUAACACAUGCAAGUCGAACGGUAAGGCCCUUCGGGGUACACGAGUGGCGAACGGGUGAGUAACACGUGGGUGAUCUGCCCUGCACUUCGGGAUAAGCCUGGGACACUGGGUCUAAUACCGGAUCGGACUCCUGGCUUCAUGGUUGGGGGUGGAAAGCUUUUGCGGUGUGGGAUGGGACCGCGGCCUAGCAGCUUGUUGGUGGGGUAAUGGCCUACCAAGGCGACGACGGGUAGCCGGCCUGAGAGGGUGUCCGGGCACACUGGGACUGAGAUACGGGCCAGACUCCUACGGGAGGCAGCAGUGGGGAAUAUUGCACAAUGGGCGCAAGCCUGAUGCAGCGACGCCGCGUGAGGGAUGACGGCCUUCGGGUUGUAAACCUCUUUCAGCUAUGACGAAGCGCAAGUGACGGUAGUAGCAGAAGAAGGACCGGCCAACUACGUGCCAGCCGCCGCAGUAAUAC